AUACGGAGGGUGCAAGCGUUGUUCGGAAUUAUUGGGCGUAAAGCGCGUGUAGGCGGUCUGUUAAGUCUGGUGUGAAAGCCCUGGGCUCAACCCAGGGAGUGCAUUGGAUACUGACAGACUUGAGUAUGGGAGAGGAAAGCGGAAUUCCGAGUGUAGGAGUGAAAUCCGUAGAUAUUCGGAGGAACACUAGUGGCGAAGGCGGCCUUCUGGACCAAUACUGACGCUGAGACGCGAAAGCGUGGGGAGCAAACAGGAUUAGAAACCCCAGUAGUCC
rnacentral:rRNA from 1 species